ensembl:miRNA MIR145 microRNA 145
ACCUUGUCCUCAGGGUCCAGUUUUCCCAGGAAUCCCUUAGGUGCUAAGAUGGGGAUUCCUGGAAAUACUGUUCUUGAGGUCAUGGCU